GACUGUUAUGAAGAAGAAGAUACAGCAUUCCUGUGUCCAAGUUGACUUUGAGUUGCCAUCCUACAGGAGUGGAAGGCACAGGAAGAUGACUAAGGUGGAUGUCCUGUUGCCUCAGAUAUCACCUGCCUCAUUGCCUUGUGGAGGAUGGAUGACCACUUAUUAAGGAUGCUGAGAAGCUGCAUCUAUGCCUGCACAAGACUUGUCAUGUUGCCUCCACCGAGGGGAGCUUUGGAAUUAGACCUAGAAGUUCCGAUCUCAUUCUAUUGCCUCAGCAAUUCAACACAAAGGCUCUGGUCCAACCCUUUUCUUUCUGAGUCUCAAUGACUACACACUGAAUGGAGUCUAUCCAAGAAGGACCUGUAUUUCAUGACUGCAGCUUCCAAAAACAUGGAGAAUGUUAUUCUUCGGGUGUUUUUCUGGAAAGGAAAUGAGUUGGAGAAAUGACUGCCAGGCAGAGGACAGGACCAUUAAAAUCUCACACAGAGAGACUGAAGUUUAAGCUUUCUUAUGUUUAAUUCUCUGACGUAUGCCCCAGCAUGACAGAAAAUAAUUCUUGAUCAGUAGAGAGCAUGGAUAAUAGAAAUCCAACAAAUAUGAUCCGGCAAAGCCAAUGCAUCGGAACACAAAAGUUCCUAGAGGUAGCUGUAUUUUAAAGUAUAUUUAUUU